GAGCUCGAUUAGGCAGCCGACUCGACUAGAGUACCUGGUCGCCCUGGUCGUCCGACUAGUCGACGAUUAGGGCCGAUUAGUCGCUCGAUUAGCCGGUUCUGGGCGACUAGGUUUAGGACCUAGGUUUUUUGAUUUCCUGGCUUCGUGGGCUUUUUUGGCGGGCGGCCCGACUACAGGCAGUUGAAACGCCACACGCCAGCCGCCUCUACUGAAGAUGGAACCUCAGCCGCCUGUUCUGUCUUCUCUUUAUUUCCCUUUCCCUAAUUCCCUACCUGCUCGGCGGCUGUUCUUGAGUUCUUGUUCUGGAAUCCAGGCUUCCAAAGUCCACUGCUCCACUCCAGACUUCCAAUCCAGCACGCGCGAAUCCAGUUCACCGACGGACUCCAGACUUCAUCCUUCAUCCUUCAAUCUCCAGCACGCGCGAAUCCAGUUUUUUUCGUCGGCAUGAGUUCAUCUUCUGGAGAGUUUGGUCGUCGCCAUCAGGAUAAUGUUGAGGUGAUCUUCCCAGAAUCACAAGUUGUGGGCAGCGGUAAUGAAUUUCAGUUGGAUGAAGAUCUUCUUUAGGUAACUGGGUGGUAAUGUGUGUUGUGUGGUACUGUUAUGGUAUCUGGGACUUGUAGUAUUAAUAACUAGUAAGUGUUUCUCUGCUGUUUUCACUUUUCA